ACCACCUGCGAAACCAAAAAUACCCCCGUUACCGAGAACAGGAAUAAGUACUGUAAAUAAGAUCCAAAAAAUGCACGAACAUUGGUUGACCUUUUUUUUUUUUUUUUUUAAUUUUAGCACAUCUAUUUUGUUCGUUAAGUCAACAGUCCCCUGGUUGAUCAUUCCUUUUUUUUUUGUUGUGUUUUGUUUUGUUUUUUAACUUUCUGGUCAGUCUGUUUCUAGUCCACCUACCUGCCCAUUCUUGGCAGCCCCUAUCCAUCUAGCCCAUUUCAGAAUUAUGGGUCUUACUGAGGGUGGGCAGUACAACACUGCAGAGAGAUCAUUGGCUUCAGUCAAUAACCCCGUUUUGGAUUCUGGCUUUGUUCUCACCAGCAGUGUGACUUGAUCAAACUGCCUGGCUGUGGCAGAGACUAAGGUAUUUCCCAACGUCCUUUCUCUCCUUCCUCUUACAUAACAGAGCCCGUGAGCCAACAAGUGUCUAGAAUAAAGACUAUAUUUCCUAGUUCCUGUAGUUCUGGUUGAGGGAGUACAUGCAGAAAUAAUUUGUGCACUUUCUAGGAAGGAUUCUUAAAGGGAAUUUGUUUUUUCUUUUCUCAUUUCAUGGGGAUGUAAUGCUGGAGAACCAGGAAUCAUCUUAAACUGCCAUGAAGGCCAUGCCUUAAGGACAGAAAAGCAGAAAGCUACAAGGAUCCUGGAACUCUGAUGAAUUUUUGAACUAUCAUACCCUGGACUGCUGCUGUUUUAAGCUUUCUGAAAUUGUGAAAGAGAACACACAUUUAGAAAAGUGCACAGUGAUAGAUGUACAGUGUAAUGAAUUAAGGUGCAGAGAUCUAUGCUGGUGUUGUGGAACAGGCCAAGGGAUAUACAGUAUGCUUGCUCUCAUGGAGCUCACAGUCUUCUUCAGGAAGCCAAUGAUACAGGGGAAUUGAGGACCAUUCAAGGGCAACUGUCUCAAAGUGAGGAGCUUUCCUUUGGCAGUGAAGGCCUGCACAUCAUGAUUCUUGAAAAUGAACUUGUUUCCUUGUGAAA